CCUUUUUUUGGUACAGAAAUAUCUUUAGUUGUCCAUCUAAUAGAUAGAAAAAUCGUCUUUAUUUAAACAUUACGCUACUUACUUGAAAAUAAAGUAGCUCUAUAUGGCUCGAGAAUCUUUACACUGAAGAAAUUGUGAUGCAAUAGAAUUAAACAAGAAGAGGACGUAUUUGCUCUCACAUCGUCAGCAUUCUUACCGGAAGGAACACAUUUCACAAGAGUUAAUUUUGUGUCUUCUACGAAGCACAAAAUGCAAGUGUAACUGAACCCACUCUAUGCCACGCAAGAAGCAAACUUUAAUUGAAUCACUCAUCAAAUACGCAAAAAUCACGACAGGUUCCCCCUUUCUUGGUGGGAAUUAGCUCUACAUUGCUUUCCAUUUUUAAAACUAGAAACAUAUAGUGGGAAAUGAUCUAGAAAAGUCCGCAUUGGAGGAGAAUUGGACCAACCGCUACCUCUACCCUUAAGGAUUCGAGUUUGGGAAACCUCGAAGAAGAAGACGAGGAGCAACGGAACAA
rnacentral:lncRNA from 1 species